rnacentral:lncRNA from 1 species
CUAAUGUCAAACCGUUCUCUCUCAGUGCUGGAAAUACAAUACAGGGCCUCAUGAAUGUUCUGCCACUAGUUAUCUCUCAGGAGAAAUCAGUGUUUUUAAUCACUGACUUGAUACUCUCCAACCUCUCCUGGAGUGUCAAGUCCAACAUGUCCAAAGCUCCCAUCUCCCCAUCCCUGAACACACCUCACUGGUGCACUAUUGCUUUCAGAAAAGUGCAUCAUCUGAAGUCCAAGCAUCCUAAAUAGAAGUCUUAGAGGGACAGUCAUUUCUAUCAUAACCAAUACACUUGCUCCUAAAAAUGAGUGUGUUGUGCAGAAUUGAUCAAUAAAAACUACAGAGCUGGAGGAAAGAAGAUGGCUGCCUAGGGAGCAACUGCAAGGUUGAGUCUCAAAAUUGGCAAUGGAGAAAAGCAGGUACCCUAGGGUGGGAGUGAAAGAUAAACACUGACACAGGAGGGCAGUGAGAAGAGCAUCUAGUGGACCAAAGUCCAGUUCUGGGGGUAUGUGAUGGAAAAGAAAAGAAAAGAGAGAGAAGGAGAGAGAGAGAGAGAGAUUCAUGAAGAGCAAACCGGCACUCCAGAAAAAAAAGUACUCAAGAAUAUUCAAACAAAGCCAAAAAGUCUGAUGGAAUGAAUACAUCAAGCAAGAGCUAACCAUGCCCUGAGACAUGAAGAUGAAGAUCAGAGCAAAUAGAUUUGGCUACAGUUGGGCACCUAAUUAGUCACCAGGGCUGCUUGUAUCUCCAGCAGCAUAGAUAUUGUCAGCAUCAAUGACCCCUUCAUUGGCCUCAACAACAUGAAUUAUGUGU